rnacentral:rRNA from 1 species
GAUGAACGCUGGCGGCGUGCCUAAUACAUGCAAGUCGAGCGAACGGACGAGAAGCUUGCUUCUCUGAUGUUAGCGGCGGACGGGUGAGUAACACGUGGAUAACCUACCUAUAAGACUGGGAUAACUUCGGGAAACCGGAGCUAAUACCGGAUAAUAUUUUGAACCGCAUGGUUCAAAAGUGAAAGACGGUCUUGCUGUCACUUAUAGAUGGAUCCGCGCUGCAUUAGCUAGUUGGUAAGGUAACGGCUUACCAAGGCAACGAUGCAUAGCCGACCUGAGAGGGUGAUCGGCCACACUGGAACUGAGACACGGUCCAGACUCCUACGGGAGGCAGCAGUAGGGAAUCUUCCGCAAUGGGCGAAAGCCUGACGGAGCAACGCCGCGUGAGUGAUGAAGGUCUUCGGAUCGUAAAACUCUGUUAUUAGGGAAGGACAUAUGUGUAAGUAACUGUGCACAUCUUGACGGUACCUAAUCAGAAAGCCACGGCUAACUACGUGCCAGCAGCCGCGGUAAUACGUAGGUGGCAAGCGUUAUCCGGAAUUAUUGGGCGUAAAGCGCGCGUAGGCGGUUUUUUAAGUCUGAUGUGAAAGCCCACGGCUCAACCGUGGAGGGUCAUUGGAAACUGGAAAACUUGAGUGCAGAAGAGGAAAGUGGAAGUCCAUGUGUAGCGGUGAAAUGCGCAGAGAUAUGGAGGAACACCAGUGGCGAAGGCGACUUUCUGGUCUGUAACUGACGCUGAUGUGCGAAAGCGUGGGGAUCAAACAGGAUUAGAUACCCUGGUAGUCCACGCCGUAAACGAUGAGUGCUAAGUGUUAGGGGGUUUCCGCCCCUUAGUGCUGCAGCUAACGCAUUAAGCACUCCGCCUGGGGAGUACGACCGCAAGGUUGAAACUCAAAGGAAUUGACGGGGACCCGCACAAGCGGUGGAGCAUGUGGUUUAAUUCGAAGCAACGCGAAGAACCUUACCAAAUCUUGACAUCCUUUGACAACUCUAGAGAUAGAGCCUUCCCCUUCGGGGGACAAAGUGACAGGUGGUGCAUGGUAGUCGUCAGCUCGUGUCGUGAGAUGUUGGGUUAAGUCCCGCAACGAGCGCAACCCUUAAGCUUAGUUGCCAUCAUUAAGCUGGGCACUCUAAGUUGACUGCCGGUGACAAACCGGAGGAAGGUGGGGAUGACGUCAAAUCAUCAUGCCCCUUAUGAUUUGGGCUACACACGUGCUACAAUGGACAAUACAAAGGGCAGCGAAACCGCGAGGUCAAGCAAAUCCCAUAAAGUUGUUCUCAGUUCGGAUUGUAGUCUGCAACUCGACUACAUGAAGCUGGAAUCGCUAGUAAUCGUAGAUCAGCAUGCUACGGUGAAUACGUUCCCGGGUCU